rnacentral:misc_RNA from 1 species
GUGAGCAUAAAAUGAAAUGAAGUUCCGAUUGCACAUAGUCUUUAAAAAGAAAUAUGCAAGUCCAAUCUGUAACUAAACAAUUCUAAGAAAAUUGUCACUUAGAUUUAAGAGUAAAUAAAAAGAGUUCCUCAAUCACACACAAUAUACUAGAGCUUAGGAAGUUUGGCAAAUUCAAGUAUCCCUCAAGUGAAAACAGACUACCUAGUGUAAGAGUUUUUGAUGCUCAGCUUUUUUCUAAGGCACUCGACAAAUUUUGAUCUGUAAUUAUCAUUAACUCUAUCUCUCAAGG